UACAGGGGGGGCAAGCGUUGUUCGGAAUUACUGGGCGUAAAGGGCUCGUAGGCGGCCAACUAAGUCCGACGUGAAAUCCCAAAGCUUAACUUUGGAACUGCGUCGGAUACUGGAUGGCUUGAAUUCGGGAGAGGGAUGCAGAAUUCCAGGUGUAGCGGUGAAAUGCGUAGAUAUCUGGAGGAACACCGGUGGCGAAGGCGGCAUCCUGGACCGAUAUUGACGCUGAGGCGCGAAAGCCAGGGGAGCAAGCGGG
rnacentral:rRNA from 1 species